UACGUAGGGUGCGAGCGUUAAUCGGAAUUACUGGGCGUAAAGCGUGCGCAGGCGGCUUUGUAAGUCAGAUGUGAAAGCCCCGGGCUUAACCUGGGAAUGGCAUUUGGGACUGCAAGGCUGGAGUUUGGCAGAGGAGACUGGAAUUCCUGGUGUAGCAGUGAAAUGCGUAGAUAUCAGGAGGAAUACCGAUGGCGAAGGCAGGUCUCUGGGCUAUAACUGACGCUCAUGCACGAAGGCGUGGGGAGCAAACAGG
rnacentral:rRNA from 1 species